rnacentral:lncRNA from 1 species
GUGAGAUUUCUUUUCCACUUGCCUUGUUUGGUGGAUGGCUUUAUUUGUCCAUAGGCUUUAGGACAAUAUCGUUGAAAUAUUCAGCUGUACCUUCAUUUCUUUUUGUUGCCAUUUCCUGCUUAUGAAAAGGAUAUUACUGGGUGUAUUUUUGUCCGUUGGCUCUAGGAGGAUGUCAAUGAAAUGUUCAGCUGUACCAUCAUGGAUGUUUGCCAUCAUUUGCUGGUUGUGGAAAGGAUGAAGAACAUACUCUUUUAUCAGUUCUAUGUAAUCAUUUCAGGCAAAAGAGUUCUAAUUUAUUUGGUCAUUCAAUCUUUUGAGACUAGACUUUUUAAGAUGCUUGUUUUGCAAUGAACAUGAGACAGUCAAUCAGCAUGGUCUAUGGGACAAGGCUUGCUGUCUUGGAUUUGUGGCUCAGCUAAUAUGUUUGCAAAAGACUUUGAGAAAAACCUAGUUUAUUUUAUGUACUGAAGACAUGCUUUUCAUUAUAAAUAUCUGUUCUGUCCAUUUGCUGGAAGCAAGCAAAAAUUGUAAUACAAUCUUUUGGUGUUGUCAGAUUUAAGUAGAAUAGUAAAAGUGUUGACUAAUAAUUUGGCAAUCAAAGUCUGCUAUUUUAACCAUCCACCUCAUGUAUGAUAAUCCAAUGGCAUAUAACUUGGUCAGUAAAUUAAGUGAAUUAUUGGCAAAUUUCAUAUCUGUCACCUUUCAUUUGUCUCCUACAUCAAUUCUCAUAUCAAUGCCAACAAAAUAACCUGUUUUUUUAGCAAAUUUCCUGUAACAUGUAUCCUUUUGAUGUAAAUGUUGCUUUUCUCUCUCUUAUUAUUGGUUUUAUAGCAUCAUGUCUUUAAUACAAAUGAAGGUACCAGUUUUAUGAACUUUAUCAAUCAGUGUAAUUAUUUGGGAAAAGGUGGAUACCACUUAAUUCUCUC